GUCACGGAGGCCGGUGCUUGGGGAAGGACAAACACCAGAGAAGGUUCCCGAUGCAACCUUGAAAUCUUAGCCAUCUGUGUUAUCACCGGCUGAAAGACUCCAAAGAAUCAGAAAGAGGCCAUGUAGAAG